AUUGAACGCUGGCGGCAUGCUUUACACAUGCAAGUCGAACGGUAACAGGCCUUCGGGCGCUGACGAGUGGCGAACGGGUGAGUAAUGCAUCGGAACGUGCCCAGAGGUGGGGGAUAACGCAGCGAAAGCUGUGCUAAUACCGCAUAUUAUCUGAGGAUGAAAGCGGGGGACUAAGCAGCAAUGUUUGGCCUCGCGCCUUUGGAGCGGCCGAUGUCAGAUUAGGUAGUUGGUGGGGUAAAGGCCUACCAAGCCGACGAUCUGUAGCUGGUCUGAGAGGACGACCAGCCACACUGGGACUGAGACACGGCCCAGACUCCUACGGGAGGCAGCAGUGGGGAAUAUUGGACAAUGGGCGAAAGCCUGAUCCAGCAAUGCCGCGUGAGUGAUGAAGGCCUUAGGGUUGUAAAGCUCUUUUACCCGAGAUGAUAAUGACAGUAUCGGGAGAAUAAGCUCCGGCUAACUCCGUGCCAGCAG
rnacentral:rRNA from 1 species